ACGGCCAUUUCACGUUAAAAAACCAGCUCCCGUACGAACACCGAAGUUAAGCAACGUCGAAUCAGUACCUAGAUGGGUGACCGCUUAAGAGUACAAGGUGCUGUAAG